AUAUCUCUCCGUACGGGAAGGAUGAGAAGCUUCGACUAAGGUUCGAUUCGAGCGCAGCGAGAACGCGUUGCCGCAGGCAAC
rnacentral:sRNA from 5 species